rnacentral:lncRNA from 1 species
AUGAACUCAACCGACAGAAGAUCCAAAAAACUUGGAAAAGAAAGAAUUACAUCUGUAAUGAACACAUGGUUGGACGCCAUUGCGCUCGCUCUGGACUCCGAAUCUGAGAAGGCGGGACCACCGGGAUCAUGGAGAGCGGCGGGGAGCGAGGGCCCUCAUAGCGGCUCCCCUCGCCGCCCUCCGCCGCCCACGUUGGACUCUGCCCGCUCAGCCGCUCCCCCGGUAUCUUUUAUUUUAAAACCUUCUCUUGUAUUUCCUGUCUUAAUUGCAGGUACACCAUCAUGCACUUAUUUGCUCAAGCUAGAUGCCUAAAAUAUCCUUUAUAAUAACUAAUUAUAAUAACUAAUCAUUUAUAAUAACUUUAUAAUAACUAAUUUUCAGAGUCCUGCCAGUUUUACUUUCAGAAAAGCAGUAUCCCCUCUUCACCCUAGUGCUACUGUACAGGUUCAUGUCAUCUCUUCUCUGAACUCAAGCAGUAGCUUCCCAGCUAUUCUCCCUG